GCUGGGCCGGGCCCGGCCAUGGUCGCUCCCCGCCGGCUCCGCCGCAGCCCCGGCAGCGGCCGGUCCGCGCCCCGCUCAGGUGGGUCCCUCCCGCUCUCGCGCUUCUUCGCCGUCGGCUUUUUUUUUUUCUCCCCCCCUUCUCCUCCUUCUAAUUGUUAUUUUUAAUUAUUUUGGAUUUCUUUUCACGUUUCGCGAUUUCUGGCGCUUACUUCCGAGAACGGCACCCCCCCCCCCCCCUCCUUCCCCGGGCGGCCUUGGGGGGGCGCGGAGCCCCGCUCAGCCCCGCGGUGUUCGGGUGGGGGGAACGGAGCGGAGGGACCCCCCCGACCCCCGGAGCCGCACGGAGCCGCCCCGAGGCGCGGGGAUGGGCGGGGGCGGGAGCAGCGGCGGCGGCGGCGGCGGCGGCGGCAGCGGCACAUCCUUCCCCCGCGCCCCCCUCCUCCCUCCUCCUCCCCCCUCGGCUUCAAAACAAACCGUCACCAAAAUGGUGCAGAGGUGAAGGAGGGAGCGGGAGGAAGGGGAAGAGGUGGCGGCUCGGCCUGGGCGCUGCGGGGACAGUUGGAUUGAGGAGCGGUGGCUGCAGCUCAUCCCUGCCAGGAGCAGAAGAUGCAGGAGGCUGCAUAGCAGGUAUGGGGGAAAUCCCAAACUCUGAGUUCCUGCCUUCCCUUUGGGUUUGCUUGGCCCUGUGUGUGUCCCCUGCUGCAGGCUGGGAGCUGCACAGGGUCCCACAGAGGAUGCAGCUCAAGGGUCUCAGGCUCCCACAGUGGUGCCAACCACUCCAGUGAGGGCUGGUGCAGGAAGGGCACAGGGAACACCCUGCUGCUCUGCACACGGGGAUCCUGAUGUGUGGGAUGGGCAGCAGAGUCCCCAGAGCAGGGCAGGGAGGUGGUGCCCAGCAAUGGGCGCCACUGCUGUUCCCCAGUGCCCAUCUUCCCCUUCACUUCCCCAGCUGGCACAGCUCUGUAGCCACAGCACUGAUUUGGGGUUCUCUGGGUGUUUUGCAACACAGCCCUGUGUAUCAGUGCAAAGGAGGGUUUUUUCUGCCCUGUUUCCUCCCAGUGUGGACAAGACUUGUGGCCAAGCCUGCUGUUAUUUUGUCCCUUGCAUUCCUCUAAAAUAAGGUGCUGCUGGGAGAGGGCCUCAUGUCCAGGGUUUCUUCCUUUUCAACCUUCUUGGCCUGUUUAUUGCUCUUACAGUAAAUGUUUGUGUCUCCUGUGUCUGCAGUGAGGUUGUGGUACAGACACCACUGCGGGCUGCUUUAUGAGGGCUUGAUGGUUUCAUGAAAUGCAUCUUCUGUACCUGAGAGUGAAAUCAAUAAAAGGAAAGAUUUUUAAAAAUAAUACA
rnacentral:lncRNA from 1 species